CAUCGGUGCAUGGUGAUGUCAACAGUUGACCCUACGCCUCCCCAUGCUGCUCUGUCCUCCCCUUGCUGGGCUGGGGGCAGCUCUGUGUCUCCUGACCUGGUUGCUGCUGACCACAGUGCAUUGGGGUGUGCCAUCAGAUCCCAACCUGAACCAGAGCUGCAUGGAGCCCAAGAGGAUUACAACGUCCAAAGUCAACCCGAGCGGUGGAAGCUAGCUAUUAGCUAAUGCAACCUCACCACUUCCUCUGCGAAUCCCUGAUUCACAGCAAAGGAAAAGACAGCACAACAGAGCCCCAAGCAAUUUGCUGUAAGGCUGCUCCAACGCCCAGCUCCCAGCCCACGCUGAUCCAUCACGCUGCACCCGAACGGACUGCGUGCAUCACCCAGCACUACUGCAAUGGCUCUAGCAGCAGGAUGCAUUAGCAUUCCUGGUAAUGGAGACCAAGGGGCACGGUGGGGAGGAGAUGCUGCUAUAAUGGACAAGGGAUGCAGCAGUCUGGCUGUAGCAAUUAAAAGGGAUCUUGUCCUAAAUCUUUAAAAGACACCCAUUGUGAAGCAACCCCAGGAGCCGAGUCUGACCCUUCAGAAUAACCCACAGCAAGAAGAGCAGUGUCAAAACCCAACACUAGAUGCCAGCAGAUAUUGCAGAAGCGCAUCUACGAAGGUCAGCUGGAGAAAUGCAGCAAAACCACUGAGCUUCCUGUGAGCUUCUCAUAUGACUUUUCCCAAGUAUUGUCCAAUGCACAAAGCUCCGGGCACACACCAAAGGCUGAGCCUUGGUCGUGCACUGCAGCACACUUUGCUCUGGUGUAAGCCUGGGCUCCUGCCCAGCUGUAGCAGCGGGCAAUGAAUGAGCAAUUUUGGAACAA